AGGUGAUGUGUCCGACAUGUCUU
rnacentral:siRNA from 1 species